rnacentral:lncRNA from 1 species
CUGGCCUUGAAAUGUUGUUUGCGCAAAUAAAUUUGCGGAAUGAAACCUGUGUUUAAAACCAUUUAAAAAUAAGUUUGUUUCCCUUAUUUGUCAUCAAUCCGUAAGAUGCAUCAUCUCAUAGAAAUAGACUUGUCCAAAUGUGGACAGGUAAAAGACAUCAAGUUAAAGUACUGAAUAUUAACAAAUCAUUUGGAACUCGCGUGUUUCAUAGAAAAUGAAAAAAAUAUUGUCUAUUUGGAUAAAAAACGUGAAUGCAUGACAACAGAUUAACCCGAUAUUCUCGUUUUUCCAGUGGACGAGUCUAUUACGUUCUUGACACGUGUGUUGAAUUUUAUUUUCGUACGACGUUUUUACAUUUUUUUUCUUUAUCAGUUUUCGUGCUUGAAGAUCAGUAUUCACCAUGUUUUCUGUAAUUGAUUAAGAGCUAAUCGAAUCUGUUUUUCUUGUUUGUGAAAUGACUAUUAUUUUUCUUCUUUGUCUGUGCACCCCCCCCUUUUUACGGGAAAUUAUAAACAAUGUUUAUGACAGUUGAGCAAUACUAUUUCAUCGAACUAAAAUUUAAGAAAUUAUGACAAAAUAGCAUAACAAAUAUAUUGUUAGAAAGGUGAACUAUAUAUUUAUUUUGCAUCUUUUUCUGUCUUGAGUGAUACUUUUUUUCCUUUUUUUAACAACCAACCGACCCAACUUUUUCAUGGGGAAGAUCCUUUAACCAACAAAUAAAAAAAAACAUGGCCUUUAUACAAUCCUUCUACUUAAUUGUCACACAGUCAACAAGUUUACAAAGAGGUAGAGGUAACACACUUCUUACAAAUAAUCUCAGAUAUGUAAACAAAAAGAUAAUAUAGUUGUGAACACAAAAUGGUUGGUAUUUUAACAAAAAGCACCAAAAACAAGUAAGAAGGGAAUCAAUAAAACAACUUCCAUACAAAUUGUAGACAAAAUAUACAUCUCGCUUUAUCUUUUUCCUGGUACCAUCAUCCACAGAUCAAAUAAUCUUAAACAAAAUCAACUUUCAUAUUUCUUAACAUCCCCAAUAAUUUUUAACAGUUGUGAAGAGAACCUUUAUGGUUUAUUGAAAAUUACCAUUCCCAUAAUUUG